UUUGAAACAGCAGUUCUCGUACGAUCACCGAAGUUAAGCAACGCUGAGCUUGGCCAGUACCUUGAUGGAUAACCGCUUGGGAAUACCAGGUGCCGUAA